rnacentral:rRNA from 1 species
CUGGCUCAGGAUGAACGCUAGCUACAGGCUUAACACAUGCAAGUCGAGGGGCAGCAUGGUGUCGCUUGCGACAACUGAUGGCGACCGGCGCACGGGUGAGUAACGCGUAUCCAACCUUCCCCGCAGUAGGGGAUAGCCCGGCGAAAGUCGGAUUAAUACCCUAUGUGUCCCAAGAUAGCAUUUGAUUGGGACGAGAGAUUGAUCGCUGCGGGAUGGGGAUGCGUCUGAUUAGGCAGCAGGCGGGGUGACGGCCCACCUGGCCGACGAUCAGUAGGGGUUCUGAGAGGAAGGUCCCCCACAUUGGAACUGAGACACGGUCCAAACUCCUACGGGAGGCAGCAGUGAGGAAUAUUGGUCAAUGGGCGCAGGCCUGAACCAGCCAAAGUAGCGUGAGGGACGACGGCCCUACGGGUUGUAAACCUCUUUGCCGGGGAUAAAGUUCGCCACGUGUGGCGUUUUGCAUGUACCCGGAGAAUAAGGACCGGCUAAUUCCGUGCCAGCAGCAGC